CAGUAGGGAAUCUUCCACAAUGGACGCAAGUCUGAUGGAGCAACGCCGCGUGAGUGAAGAAGGGUUUCGGCUCGUAAAGCUCUGUUGUUAAAGAAGAACGUGGGUAAGAGUAACUGUUUACCCAGUGACGGCAUUUAACCAGAAAGCCACGGCUAACUACGUGCCAG
rnacentral:rRNA from 1 species